rnacentral:lncRNA from 1 species
CUCAACUCGGGGCAGCAGCAGGAGCUCUGACUGCCCUUGGGUCCUGUCCCCAUGCAGCAGCGGCAGCAGCUCUUCACUGCCCAUGGGUCCUGUCCCCAUGCUAUUCCAUACUAUUCUCUAAAUAAAAAAGCACUACUGCCAGUCCUUGAGAGUCCAAGAAAUCUUUCUUUCGACUCUUCGGCUCGCCAUCCCCGCAUCAUGACCACCAGAAGUCAGAAUUCUAACAUCAAGAUGUUGACAGAGCAGUAUUCCUUCUGGAGCUUUCAGAAGACAACCUGGGAACCCGUUUCCUUGCCUUUUCCAGCGUCCAGAGGCUGUCUGUCUUCCUUGGCUCAUGGCUCCUUCCUGCAUUUUCAAACCCCUUUACAAGUCUGAUCAUUCUCCUCUGAACACACUCCAGGAUGUGGAUAUUCCUCGUAAACUGCAAUAACCAGAAUUGAACUCAGCACUCCAUGUGAGAUCUAUCAGGAAGGACAAACCUGUCCUGAGAUGGCCUUAGCUGCAGAGAGAUGCCUUGCUCAAAAGCGUGACCUACCUGGGGUACUCACAUCCAUUGACUGAUCACGGCGGGGCGAUAAAGACCUGACAUUUUUGGCUCACUAGGGGGCAACUCCAGUGGGCCAUAUUGGCUCUGGAGCUCCCUGUGAGUUGCGCUGAGGCCUUCAGACCUGCAUCACAGCUCAACUUAUCCCUCUGUUCAAUUGCUUCCUCCUCCUUGCUUCC